UACGUAGGGUGCAAGCGUUGUCCGGAAUUACUGGGCGUAAAGCGUGCGCAGGCGGUUCGUUAAGUCAGCUGUGAAAGCCCCGGGCUCAACCUGGGAAUUGCGGUUGAAACUGGCGGACUAGAAUCUGGCAGAGGGGGGUGGAAUUCCACGUGUAGCAGUGAAAUGCGUAGAGAUGUGGAGGAACACCGAUGGCGAAGGCAGCCCCCUGGGCUGAGAUUGACGCUCAGGCACGAAAGCGUGGGGAGCAAACAGG
rnacentral:rRNA from 1 species